rnacentral:rRNA from 1 species
UUUUGGACAAUGGGCGCAAGCCUGAUCCAGCAAUGCCGCGUGAGUGAAGAAGGCCUUCGGGUUGUAAAGCUCUUUUGUCAGGGAAGAAACGGUGAGCUCUAAUACAGUUUGCUAAUGACGGUACCUGAAGAAUAAGCACCGGCUAACUACGUGCCAGCAGCCGCGGUAAUACGUAGGGUGCAAGCGUUAAUCGGAAUUACUGGGCGUAAAGCGUGCGCAGGCGGUUAUGUAAGUCAGAUGUGAAAUCCCCGGGCUCAACCUGGGAAUGGCAUUUGAGACUGCAUGGCUAGAGUGUGUCAGAGGGGGGUAGAAUUCCACGUGUAGCAGUGAAAUGCGUAGAGAUGUGGAGGAAUACCGAUGGCGAAGGCAGCCCCCUGGGAUAACACUGACGCUCAUCACAAA